AAGAUGUGUAUGUAUACCAAGUCUGGUUGUGCUAGGUCAAUUAGGGGCCGAGUUAUAGAGCGGAAGGGAAAUAUGAUCAAGAUCAAGGUCAAAUAAAGGUCGCAGUGACCUGGU